rnacentral:misc_RNA from 1 species
UACGGACCGGACAAACGUUAUUCGGAAUCACUGGGCUUAAAGAGUACGUAGGCGGCUUGGCAAGUUGGGUGUGAAAGCCCUCGGCUCAACCGAGGAAUUGCGCCCAAAACUGCUAGGCUUGAGGGAGGCAGAGGUGAGCGGAACUGAUGGUGGAGCGGUGAAAUGCGUUGAUAUCAUCAGGAACACCAGUGGCGAAGGCGGCUCACUGGGCCUCUACUGACGCUGAGGUACGAAAGCUAGGGGAGCGAACGGG